CACGUAGUUAGCCGUGGCUUUCUGGUUAGAUACCGUCAAGGUGAGAACAGUAACUCUCUCACUUGUUCUUCUCUAACAACAGAGUUUUACGAUCCGAAAACCUUCUUCACUCACGCGGCGUUGCUCGGUCAGACUUUCGUCCAUUGCCGAAGAUUCCCUACUGCUGCCUCCCGUAGGAGUCUGGGCCGUGUCUCAGUCCCAGUGUGGCCGAUCACCCUCUCAGGUCGGCUAUGCAUCACGGUCUUGGUAGGCCGUUACCCCACCAACUAACUAAUGCAGCGCGGGCCCAUCCACCAGUGACACCGAAGCGUUCUUUAUAUUCUUCAUGCGAAGAACAAUUAUGCGUAUUAGCACCUGUUUCCAAGUGUUAUCCUCCUCUGAUGGGCAGGUUGCCCACGUGUUACUCACCCGUCCGCCACUCACUUCUUCGGUGAGCAAGCUCCGGUGAAAGAAGUGCGUUCGACUUGCAUGUAUUAGGCACGCCGCAGCGUCUCG
rnacentral:rRNA from 1 species